UACGAAGGGUGCAAGCGUUAAUCGGAAUUACUGGGCGUAAAGCGCACGUAGGUGGUUUGCUAAGUCAGUUGUGAAAUCCCCGGGCUCAACCUGGGCACUGCAAUUGAUACUGCGUCGCUUGAGUGUCGGAGGGGGUGGCGGAAUUCCCGGUGUAGAGGUGAAAUUCGUAGAUAUUCGGAGGAACACCAGUGGCGAAGGCGGCUCACUGGUCCAUUACUGACGCUGAGGUGCGAAAGCGUGGGGAGCAAACAGG
rnacentral:rRNA from 1 species